UAGAGAGUGGUGUAUUGGAGGCACUAAGAGCUUUGAUCUCUUAAGGAUGGGUUCGAGUCCCAUCUCUCUAA
rnacentral:tRNA from 1 species